rnacentral:miRNA from 1 species
GCACUGUGCAAGCAUUUUUGUC